GCAGACUCUCCGCUGAGCAGGGAGCCUGAUGCGGGGCUUGAUCCCAGGACCCUGCGAUCCUGACCUGAGCCAAAGGCAGACGCUUAACCGACUGAGCCCCUCAGACACCCCUGCAUGCUCAGCUUUUAGGCCUCGAUUCAUUUCUUCCUCAGCCUCACUCGUGGGCCCUUUGCUGGGUUCGAAGUCUCGUGACGACAAUUAAGGAAAAGAAAUUAACCUCUUGAAUGAAUAAAGGUAACAUUAGCUCUCUGUAGCAUUCUGGUGGGACGGCCUUGGUGGAACCCCAGAAGUAUCUCUGGGCCCAUGUCCCACAGUUUACUGGAAAAGCAGCUUCCCGUCUCUACAAUCUCACUGCUGUAAGCUGAAAUCUCUUACAGGUUUCUCUACGAUCUCGAAGAACUGGGUCCUUCUGGAGACACAGAACAGUGCAGGUGUUUUUCAGAGACUGGCUUAGGGAAGUGAGUAAAGGAAGACCAUCUGGACACAGUGCCUGAGAUUCCUUGCACUGUUGAAAUGACUUGAACAGAGCACUCACUUUCUUGGCUUUGGUCGGAACCCUGUGUGGCACAAACCCUAUUGUCAGCGCUGCCAAGAGGCCUGUGAGGAGGGACUCAGUGACAAAGGAUCCUCUGAAAAUACUUCACUCUACAUUCGUCAGAAGAAUUUACCAAAGAAGAAGGCGAUGAUGAUUACGAGAACCAGGAGAGCCGGAAGUGAUAGUGGGCCUUUAAAGGAAAUCUGCUCCUGCUAAUAGCACCUCCACACAAUAACAAAAGAAUUGCAACCUUAAAGGCACCUUUGAAGGCUCUGGAUAUAUUUUAAUUGCCUCAAGUUCGCACAAAUCAGGAUGUAAGAAGCAGGUGAUUUAAAAGAGAGGGCUCACAUAAAGAAAAAAACACUCCAAGUCAGAAGUGCCGACUGGCUUCUGUUUUAAAAAAAACUUCUAAUUUUGAAAUAUUAUAGAUUGACAGGAGUUGCAUAACUAUAGUACAAAAUGAAAGGGAGGAAGUGUGCAAUCCACAGACCUCAUUCAGAUUUUACCAACUUUAUAAGCACUCAGUUGUGUGUUUGUCUCUGUGUGUAGCUCCGUGCAAUGCUAUCACAUACUUAGCUUUGUGUAACCACCAGGACACUGAGCUCUCCGUCUCCACGAUGCUCCUUCAGAUUAUCCCUUUAGAGCUAUACCCACUCCCUUCCCCUCCCCCUGUCAAUACUGCGCUGUUCUCCACCUUCAGAAUUAUGUUCUUUUGUGAAUGUCCAUACAAAUGAAAUCAUGUAGUAUAUAAACUUUUGAG